rnacentral:rRNA from 1 species
CACUAUCGUUAACUGAAUACAUAGGUUAACGAGGCGAACCGGGGGAACUGAAACAUCUAAGUACCCCGAGGAAAAGAAAUCAACCGAGAUUCCCCCAGUAGCGGCGAGCGAACGGGGAGCAGCCCAGAGUCUGAAUCAGCUUGUGUGUUAGUGGAACGGUCUGGAAAGUCCGACGGUACAGGGUGAUAGUCCCGUACACCAAAAUGCACAGGCUGUGAACUCGAAGAGUAGGGCGGGACACGUGGUAUCCUGUCUGAAUAUGGGGGGACCAUCCUCCAAGGCUAAAUACUCCUGACUGACCGAUAGUGAACCAGUACCGUGAGGGAAAGGCGAAAAGAACCCCGGCGAGGGGAGUGAAAAAGAACCUGAAACCGUGUACGUACAAGCAGUGGGAGCACCUUCGGGUGUGACUGCGUACCUUUUGUAUAAUGGGUCAGCGACUUAUAUUCUGUAGCAAGGUUAACCGUAUAGGGGAGCCGCAGGGAAACCGAGUCUUAACUGGGCGUUAAGUUGCAGGGUAUAGACCCGAAACCCGGUGAUCUAGCCAUGGGCAGGUUGAAGGUUGGGUAACACUAACUGGAGGACCGAACCGACUAAUGUUGAAAAAUUAGCGGAUGACUUGUGGCUGGGGGUGAAAGGCCAAUCAAACCGGGAGAUAGCUGGUUCUCCCCGAAAGCUAUUUAGGUAGCGCCUCGUGAACUCAUCUUCGGGGGUAGAGCACUGUUUCGGCUAGGGGGUCAUCCCGACUUACCAACCCGAUGCAAACUACGAAUACCGAAGAAUGUUAUCACGGGAGACACACGGCGGGUGCUAACGUCCGUCGUGAAGAGGGAAACAACCCAGACCGCCAGCUAAGGUCCCAAAGUCAUGGUUAAGUGGGAAACGAUGUGGGAAGGCACAGACAGCCAGGAUGUUGGCUUAGAAGCAGCCAUCAUUUAAAGAAAGCGUAAUAGCUCACUGGUCGAGUCGGCCUGCGCGGAAGAUGUAACGGGGCUAAACCAUGCACCGAAGCUGCGGCAGCGACACUAUGUGUUGUUGGGUAGGGGAGCGUUCUGUAAGCCUGCGAAGGUGACCUGUGAGGGUUGCUGGAGGUAUCAGAAGUGCGAAUGCUGACAUAAGUAACGAUAAAGCGGGUGAAAAGCCCGCUCGCCGGAAGACCAAGGGUUCCUGUCCAACGUUAAUCGGGGCAGGGUGAGUCGACCCCUAAGGCGAGGCCGAAAGGCGUAGUCGAUGGGAAACAGGUUAAUAUUCCUGUACUUGGUGUUACUGCGAAGGGGGGACGGAGAAGGCUAUGUUAGCCGGGCGACGGUUGUCCCGGUUUAAGCAUGUAGGCUGAUUGUCCAGGCAAAUCCGGAUAAUCAAGGCUGAGGUGUGAUGACGAGGCACUACGGUGCUGAAGUAACAAAUGCCCUGCUUCCAGGAAAAGCCUCUAAGCAUCAGGUAACAUUAAAUCGUACCCCAAACCGACACAGGUGGUCAGGUAGAGAAUACCAAGGCGCUUGAGAGAACUCGGGUGAAGGAACUAGGCAAAAUGGUGCCGUAACUUCGGGAGAAGGCACGCUGGUGUGUAGGUGAAGUCCCUGCGGAUGGAGCUGAGACCAGUCGAAGAUACCAGCUGGCUGCAACUGUUUAUUAAAAACACAGCACUGUGCAAACACGAAAGUGGACGUAUACGGUGUGACGCCUGCCCGGUGCCGGAAGGUUAAUUGAUGGGGUUAUCCGUAAGGAGAAGCUCUUGAUCGAAGCCCCGGUAAACGGCGGCCGUAACUAUAACGGUCCUAAGGUAGCGAAAUUCCUUGUCGGGUAAGUUCCGACCUGCACGAAUGGCGUAAUGAUGGCCAGGCUGUCUCCACCCGAGACUCAGUGAAAUUGAACUCGCUGUGAAGAUGCAGUGUACCCGCGGCAAGACGGAAAGACCCCGUGAACCUUUACUAUAGCUUGACACUGAACAUUGAGCCUUGAUGUGUAGGAUAGGUGGGAGGCUUUGAAGCGUGGACGCCAGUCUGCGUGGAGCCAACCUUGAAAUACCACCCUUUAAUGUUUGAUGUUCUAACGUUGGCCCCUGACCGGGGUUGCGGACAGUGUCUGGUGGGUAGUUUGACUGGGGCGGUCUCCUCCCAAAGCGUAACGGAGGAGCACGAAGGUUAGCUAAUCCUGGUCGGACAUCAGGAGGUUAGUGCAAUGGCAUAAGCUAGCUUGACUGCGAGCGUGACGGCGCGAGCAGGUGCGAAAGCAGGUCAUAGUGAUCCGGUGGUUCUGAAUGGAAGGGCCAUCGCUCAACGGAUAAAAGGUACUCCGGGGAUAACAGGCUGAUACCGCCCAAGAGUUCAUAUCGACGGCGGUGUUUGGCACCUCGAUGUCGGCUCAUCACAUCCUGGGGCUGAAGUAGGUCCCAAGGGUAUGGCUGUUCGCCAUUUAAAGUGGUACGCGAGCUGGGUUUAGAACGUCGUGAGACAGUUCGGUCCCUAUCUGCCGUGGGCGCUGGAGAAUUGAGGGGGGCUGCUCCUAGUACGAGAGGACCGGAGUGGACGCAUCACUGGUGUUCGGGUUGUCAUGCCAAUGGCACUGCCCGGUAGCUAAAUGCGGAAGAGAUAAGUGCUGAAAGCAUCUAAGCACGAAACUUGCCCCGAGAUGAGUUCUCCCUGAGACUAUAAGUCUCCUGAAGGAACGUUAAAGACGAUGACGUUGAUAGGCCGGGUGUGUAAGCGCAGCGAUGCGUUGAGCUAACCGGUACUAAUGAACCGUGAGGCUUAACCUU